rnacentral:rRNA from 1 species
GGUUCGUAGGUGACCUGCGGAAGGAUCAUUAAAGAAUAAUUCUUGAUCCGACCAAAGAAAGGAGGGAGAGUUGUAGCUGGCCCUAGGCACGUGCACGCUUUCUUUCUGGACUUUGGUCGUAUGGGCGCGGAGGGUCAACCUCUGCGUCUUCAUAUGCCCCUCUUCGUGUAGAAAGUCUUUGAAUGUUUUUACUAUCAUCGAGUCGCGACUUCUAGGAGAUGCGAUUCUUUGAGACAAAAGUUAUUACAACUUUCAGCAAUGGAUCUCUUGGCUCUCGCAUCGAUGAAGAACGCAGCGAAUAGCGAUAUGUAAUGUGAAUUGCAGAUCUACAGUGAAUCAUCGAAUCUUUGAACGCACCUUGCGCUCCUCGGUGUUCCGAGGAGCAUGCCUGUUUGAGCGUCAGUAAAUUCUCAACUCCUCUCGAUUGACUUCGAGUGGAGCUUGGAUAGUGGGGGCUGCCGGAGACCUGAAUAUUCGUGUUCGGGACUCGGGCUCCUCUGAAAUGUAUUGGCUUGCGGUCUGUUUUCGACUYUGCAUGACAAGGCUUUUGGCGUGAUAAUGAUCGCCGCUCGCCGAAGUGCAUGAAUGAAACCGUGCCGUGCCUCUAAUCCGUCGAUGCCUCUAUGGGGCGUCUUCUUUACGCAUUUGACCUCAAAUCAGGUAGGACUACCCGCUGAACUUAAGCAUAUCAAUAAGCGGAGGAAAAGAAACUAACAAGGAUUCCCCUAGUAACUGCGAGUGAACCGGGAAAAGCUCAAAUUUUGAAUUCUGGCGGUNCCUUGCGGCCGUCCGAGUGUAUC